GAUGAACGCUGGCGGCGUGCCUAAUACAUGCAAGUCGAGCGGUAAGGCCCCUUCGGGGGGUACACGAGCGGCGGACGGCUGAGUAACGCGUAGGAACGUACCCCAAAGUGAGGGAUAACUGCUCGAAAGAGUAGCUAAUACCGCAUGUGCUCUAAGGAGUAAAGCUUCGGCGCUUUGGGAACGGCCUGCGUAAGAUUAGCUUGUUGGUGAGGUAAUGGCUCACCAAGGCGACGAUCUAGCUGGUCUGAGAGGAUGAUCAGCCAGACUGGGACUGAGACACGGCCCAGACUCCUACGGGAGGCAGCAGUAGGGAAUUUUCCACAAUGGCGAAAGCCUGAUGGAGCAACGCCGCGUGCAGGAUGAAGGCUCUCGGGU
rnacentral:rRNA from 1 species